rnacentral:lncRNA from 1 species
UAUAUAUAUAUAUAUAGAGCUAGGCUACUAUACUAUCGGUAGCACGGAGCGCUCCGUGCUACCAAGUUAUUUUCGAUGAUGUGGCUUCCAAAUCGACGAUCGGCUCCGUUAGAGUUAAUCUACACUAUUGAAAGUAUUUAGAAACUAAAUUUCAUAAUUUUUCGAUAUCAUUUACCUAUCAAACAAGUAGUCUAAAAUUGAACGGCUGAAAAUAAAAAUCUCAUGAAAAAUGAUGAUAAAAGAUUUAAAUUCAAGAUCAGAUAUACUGAUCUUACUCUAAAUAGUGAAAAGAAUUUUCUAUAAAAUUUUCAUCGCAUUUGGAUUGUUUUACACCGUUAAACUCACAAACACACCACAUCGGCCAUUAAAAUUGUCAAUUUUGAGAUCUUUUGAUCACUAGUCAAAUGAUGUCGAAAAAAUUUGAAAUUUAGUUUCCAAAUACUUUCAAUAGUGUAGAUCAAGUCUAACGGAGCCGAUCGUCGAUUUGGAAGCCGCAUCAUCGAAAACAACUUGGUAGCACGGAGCGCUCCGUGCUACCGAUAGCAUAGUAGCCGGACUCUAUAUAUAUAGAUAUAUAUAAAAUUUAGCUAGAAUAUUUUUAGAAGCACCAUCUCUUUGGUGCUUCAAACUUUUUAGCUCUUGGAUUUACUCCUUGAUUAUUAAUAGUUUUUGGAUUAAAUACUAUUCCACCUAUCACCACUUAUUACCAUUAUUCCAAUCUUACAUUUCUUCAUCCAAAAGCUAGAAACUCAAAAGCAACACCACUUUGGUGCUUUUGGAAGUAUUCUACCUCAACUCUCUCUCUCUCUUUCUCUCUCUCUCUCUAUAUAUAUAUAGAGAGAGAGCAUGGCUGCUGUGCUCUCAGGAGCACGGAGGCCUCCGUGCUCCUGAGCCGUUUUCGAUGAUGGAAUUUUCGAAUCGACGAUCGGCUCCGUUAGACUUGAUCUAGCGCAUUUGAAGUUUUUAGAAAAUAAUUUUUGCGAUUUUUCGAUAUCAUUUACCUAGUGAUCGAAAGGAUUCAAAAUUCAUAAUUUUUAAUGGUUGAUAUCUGCCGUUUUAAAGUUUAACGGUGUAGAAGUAUUUAAAUCACAUGAAAUUUUGAUAGAAAAUUCUUUAUACUAUCUAAAAUAUGAUCUAUAUUUCUUAUCGAAAAUUUUAGUGCUAUAUCACCACUUUUUAUAGGAUUUUUAUUUUCAGCCGUUAAAAAUUAUUGAUUUUAAAUCCUUUCGAUUGCCAGGUAAAUAAUAUCGAAAAAUCGCAAAAAUUAUUUUCUAGAAACUUUAAAUACGGUAGAUCAAGUUUAACGGAGCCGAUCGUCGAUUCGAAAACUCCAUCAUCGAAAACGGCUCAGGAGCACGGAAGCCUCCGUGCUCCUGAGAGCACAGCAGCCCUGCUCUAUAUAUAUAUAUAGUAGGGCUACUAUACUUUUAUGAGUAUACAGUCAUUUGUACUUAUAAGUUAUUUUCGAUGUUGGGGCUUCUGAAUCGACGAUCCACACCGUUAAACAUGAUCUAGAGUAUUUGAAACUUUUAGAAAAUAAAUUUCAUAAUUUUUUGAAAUCAUUAUAAAGUCCAUCAAGCGGAUAUAAAAUGAACGGUCAAAAUUGAACGACGUCCUAAAAAUGGAUGAUCGGAUCCUUCAAUUUAAGAUCGGGAUUAUUGAUUUUUAUUUAGGUAAUGAAUAGAAUUUUCUAUCAAAAAUUCAAGUUAUUCCGAUUCUUUUACACCGUUAAACUAGCAAGUAUCACAUACUGGCCGUUAAAAAUUGUCAAUUUUGUGAGCUAUUGAUCGUAAGAUAAAUGAUUUCGAAAAAUUAUAAAAUUUGAUUUCCAGAAGUUUUAAAUGCUCUAGAUAAUGUUUAACGAUCUGAAACGUCAAUUCGGAAGCUCUAUCAUCGAAAACAACUUAUGAGUACGAAUGUGAUCGUACUCAUAAGAGUAUAGUAGCUGGACUAUAUAUAUAUAUAUAUAUAACUGUGCAAAAAUAUUAUUAAUAGUAUGAAAAUAGUUGAUAUUAUCUAUUUUCUAUUUUUAGAUAUCUAAGGUUUAGUGGGGAUGGUGAAAUAGUAACAAUUCAAGAGUGAAAAGUAAAUAAUAUCCACUCUUAAUAUGUACUAUUAGUAGUAUGGUAAUUCAACUCUCUCUCUCUCUCUCUCUCUCUAUAUAUAUAUAUAUGAGUUGGACUGGGCUACUAUUAGUAGCAAAAUUCAUUGUUGCUACCAGUUUUUUAGCCUUUGGAUCAACUCUUUUCAUUAUUUCUAAUCAUUGGAUUAAAUACUAUAACCCAGUAGGGAUCACUCAAUUCUAGAGGGACCACUCAACUCUAACUAACUAAUAUCAUCCUGAUCCCAUAAUUUUUCAUUCAAGGGUUAAAAACUUGAUAGCAAAAAAAGCGUUUUACUAUUAAUAGUAUUCCAGCCUAAUUCUAUACAUAUAUAUAUAUAUAUAUAUAUAUGUUAGUUAGUAAUAUUCUCAUUCGAGUUGCAUUAAGAAAUUAAUGUCUGAAAAAUUCUAAUUAUAUCUACUGAAACAGUAGCACAACUAAAACACCACUGGGGGAAAGAACUUAAUUUAACUAUACGUUAUCCUCACUACAUAGUAACUUUUUAAACUUGAGAAGUAGAUUACAAAUAUGUCAGCUACAAAAGAAAAAAAAAAAGAAAAAUCUAGAUUGUGCGACCCAAAUGCGUAGUCUAAAAAGACACUUUGGAGCACACAAAGAUAAAGCCCUACAAUAUUGAAGAUACAUUAUCUUGCAGCUUCAACAUGACACCCUUGUGGGAUCACGCAUGUGAGGAUAUCUAAAAUAAAUCUACUCAUACAAAUCUUUUAUAUUAUCAACUCAAAUCGCAGAAAAAGGAAUAUAUCUAUCUAUACUCAGCAGGAAGGGCCACGAGCAACAUGGACCUCAUUCUUCUAAUCUUCACAUACACUAUCGAUCGCCACUUUUGGCUGGAGAAGGAUCUUUUUGACUACAAUGUUUUAGGAUGAAGAUAAUCUUUAUCUUUUGGGCUUAUCUAUCUGAUCUGAUUAGAUAAAAGCCACUAAUAUAAUAAUGCUAAGAUAAGUCCUAAUAUUGUCAUGUCACUCUACAGGCUCAUAAUAAUGCUUCCCAUUCCCCACAGGCCCUUGUGAUAAGCCAGAACUAGAUCUUCUAAAUAUAGUAUAUAUUACAAUCUGAAGGGAGAAAGUAGGGGCUGCUGAUUCAUCAAUCUUAUUAAUGGAAAACAAAAGUGAUACUGCAAUCAAGGUGUGAAAAGAAUUUAGCUACAACACGCAUGGUGUGUUAUUGAGACUUCAAAAAGGAAAUCGAUUUGUUGCCUUUUCAUUGGCCAUAUAUAUCUGGUAACUAGUCAGCUAAAUCUAUGAGAUAAUGGAAAGAGCUGCUUAAUUUUGUUUUUCCUAGUCUUUUGAUGAAAUAUGAGACGAGUGAUUUACCAUACAAAUUAUUGAAAAAGUCUAGAGAAAAACAUAUAGGGGUAAAAAUAUACAUCAGUAUAUGACAAAUUGGUUAUCACCACUGUUUACGACAAUUGAUAGGUAAAUAGAUAAUUGCCCUCUAGGCGAAUGUGAUACGGAAUCGAGCCUCGCUUCGAGCCAGGAGUGUGCUCAUGUGGGUAUUAUACCUAAAAUAUCAAUUUGAUAGAAGAUGACUGGAAAUUAGUUUAACAAUAUUUACUUUUUACCGACCGUCCUUAGUGCAUGUGAUCAGGAAUUUAAUAGUUGGAAUCCAAGAUCUCAAGUUUAAAGCCCAAUACUGUCAUUAUAAUUGCCAGUACCACAUGAAAUGAAACUAUUAAUACUGACUUUAAAACAAAGAUAACUAUUAAUGCAACUAUUAAUGUGAUUAGUCUAGCUAGAUUGAGUACUUUAUAUUUUCAGUUAAAUUUAUUUCCAAAAAAAAGAAUAAAGUGGAUGACAACCGACCUUUCUCUCUGAGAAGAAAUUUUUUUUAAAAAAAACAUUAUCUGCUUCUCAUUAUGAUGUGUAAAGUAGAAAAUAUACUUUACACAUGUACUUGGGCCUGGAUCUUAGUUCAUCACUGUAUAGCCCAACAUUGCAACCCAGGUAUAAACAGGGACUUGCAUAAAAAAGGCCCCCGAGUCUUAAACAGGGAUGGCCCAUUUUGACCCCUCGGCCCAUAUAAUACAUCUCCUAUGUUUUAGCUAUUAAUUUUCAGAGAUCUUUGUUCAAAAUCAAAAUUCGUUUCAAAGAUUUGUCAACUGGGAAAUUAUAGAAUAUGUAUGUAUUUGCAUUAAUCGAAAUGAUUGUUUGGAUUUUCCAAUAGUUCGUUGCUCAAUCAAGUUCAAAAACUUCAAAUUAGAGUUUUAGCGCACGUGAGCUGUGCCCGGGUAAUUAUGUGGGCUGCGCUGGGCCAAUUAGACCAGAUUGGUACUAAUUUGUUGUGCCAUAUUUUCAUAUGGGCUUGGGCCGAGUUAUUUGGACCUUAUAAUGAUGCUUAAUUACACAUUAACACCAUAAUAAAUGAAUAAUUGCAUCGUUUCCUAGUCCACACUUAACAUUUUUACUUAAACACCAAGAAAAAAAAAAAACUAAUUGGAUCAAAGUUAAAGGAUUGAAAUGGAAAGUGACUGUUUUUGCCGACGUACUUUUGGAAGUUUCUAAAGUAUGAUCUGGCACCAUGCGUGCGGAACUUAAUAAGUGAUAGCUACACGUUGGAUAAUGAUUUAUUCACACUCAGCUGUAAUUAGGAACUAAGUCAUAAGUAAAUAGAAAUAAGCAACUGAUAAAAUUAUAGUAUAAAUGAAAGGAAUAAAAACUGUAGAUUUGUCGAAUUUGGGGCACGUGAAAAGCAACUAUUUGGUUACACGAGACAAUCAUUUUUCUUCAAAAGUUUAAAUUUUUAAAAACUAUACUAUUAAUAUUUCUAUUCAGUAUUUUUCUUAUGUUUAGACUUGAGACUUUUGAUAGGCUUAAGACGUGAACCUAAUUUAAAUAGAUAGAAAUUUUUUUUUUAGUAAUAAGAAAACAAAAUUAAAAAGAAAUACGAACAACUCAGCAAUUGUACAAAUGCCAAGAUCUUCAAAUUAGGCUCUUUUUUUUUUUCCACAUAUCCGACAAAUCAUAUUUGUUGCUUCUUUUGUGAUGAAUUUAUAUUAUUGGAUAUCAUAUAUGAAAUAUUGUCUUCUAUAACAACACAACACUCUGCGACGGAUUUGCCAUGUUAGAAUGAACAUAUAUUUAUGAGUCCCUCAAAAAUACCCAAAAUAUGACACUCCAUUAGUACUUUAACAAGGUGUAAACUAUAAUUAAAUGAGGACUAGAGAAGAACACUAAUUAAGCCAUGAUUAAACAAUUGUAUGGAAGGUGACCCCCGCAAUCUUUUUAUUUAACCGAAAAUACGCCCUUCCAAACCGGACUUACAUGUGGAAGAUAGGUUUAAUUGGAAUUGCUCUCAUAUAUAACAUGCGAUAAACAUAAAUAAAAAAUUAGUCUUAACAAUUAUAAUUCUCUCUAUCUCUCAGAAAAAUAUAUUCAUGUAAAUCUUACGUUUCUUUUAUCUAAAUAUUCAUAAUUUUUUUUAAAAAAUUUUAGUAUUAAAUAAUAAUUUUUGGAUGGAUGGAUGAAUUAAAAGUGACAUUGCUUAACAAAUACAUAAUAUUCGGGCUCUCGAGAGAGUAACCGGCCUUCUUUUCCCGCCGACUACGCCACGGCCGACAAAAAUAAUAAAACAGAAAAGGAUAGACGAGAGAAAUCCGAGGCAAAAAAGCUUCUCCCCAGUUGGUCAUGACAGAGUCUUCUGAUAUUAUAAUUUUAUAACGUGACAAUAAUAAUAUUCAAUUAACUUUUAUAUAUCUAGCUUACAUGAUAUAAUUUCAUAAGGUGACAGUAAUAAUAUUUAAUUAACUUUUAUCUUACAUGAUAACACACAAUUAUUAUUAUUUUUUAUACUAUGUUAAUUUAACUUGAACUUAUUAUAUUCAGGUCUCUAUCUCACGACCCAUGAGAUUCAACGAAACCGGUAAAAAUAAAUAUUCAUUAUCUUACAUAGAGUGGAAUUGAAAAAGCUAAAAUAAAAGUGUACAUCUUACACCUUUCAUAUUGAUGGAUGAGAUUAACUCAAUAUAAAUGCUCUUUGCAUUAUCUUGCCCACCAUUUAUUAUUUAUUUAUGUCCGUUUAAUCAACUUAAAGAUCUUUUAUUGAAAAAUAUUAUAAAUAUAGUUAAAUAUAUACUAAAUUAAAACUAAUUAAUUGGGACAAACUAAACUACGCAAGUACAAGCAUAAAAAUCAUACUAAUUUAGACAAAGUAGAAAAUAGAUUUUUAUAUUUCUAGUUUUUAAUUAAUUGUUAACUCGGGGUUUAAACCAUCGGCCCAAAAUAUUUAAGUCUAUUUAUUAUUACUAGUGUGUCUGGCACUUGUAAAGACAUCACACACUUUCAUAUUAUCCAAUGCGAGGCUAUUAAAGUGUCAGAUAGAGCUAUAAUAAUGCCGCUACAAAUAAUAAAGGCUAAAUUACAGAAAAUUUUCUUGUAAUAAUCCGCUUUUUCACUUUCCACCCCUGAUAUUUAAAAACCUACAUUUUGCCCCCUUAUAAAAUAAAAAAUGUUCACAGGGGGAUCACGGUGUGUAAAAUGACCAUUUUGCCCCUCGCCAUUGUUGUCUUCUUCCUGAGCUUUCUCAGCCGCCCCUUCAAUCCGCCGCUAUUUCCACCUCAAUCGGCCACGAUUCCUCUCCAAUUUCUUCUCCACUUGCUCCCCUUCUCCUCCUACACCGUCGCCGCCCAUCAAUUUCGGCGACAGUAGGGAGGAUACUAAGAUGGAUGUUGAUGGAGAGGUAGGCAGGGACAACGAGGGCGAAGGCGAGGUGGCGGAGGAGGACGAAAGGGAUGUGGGCGAGGGCGAAACAGUGGAGGACGGCGAGGCGGCGAGGCGGCGAGCCGGAGGGAGCGAAGCAUCAGAGAAGAGGCAGAGGGAUAUUUUCGGUAUAAAAAAAUAUUUUUUAACAGAAUCCCUAACGGAACCCUAACGGUAGGGGUGAAGUGCAUAUUUUUUAUUUUACAAGGAGGCAAAGUAUAGGUUUUUAAAUGUCUGGGGGGGAAAGUGAAAAAGCGGGUUAUUACAGGGGGUUUUUUGUAAUUUAGCCAAUAAUAAAUUAUAAGCAUUCAAAAAUUUAAAAGUUCAUAACAAACAUUAUUUAUAUAAUAUAUUAAUAAUAUUUUAGCUGGACUAAUUAACAUAGUCCAUGUUUUGAUAUAAAAAAACUUAGCUCCAAAAGUAGAAGCUUCUUUUGCUUCUGGGAGCCGUGAUAUGAGGGCAAACGCGUGGCAGUAGCACGUCAGCUACGCCCCCGCCCCCCCCCCACCCCACCCCACCUUUCUCUAGAAGCCCAUCAUAAUCGAAUCGAUCCUUUCCUUUCAACCCAGGGGCGAGGCCAAUCAGCUGUUGCUUUUUCCACGAAUACAAGAUUAUUAUUAUUAUUAUUAUUAUUAAGUGGACUCAUCUUUGGUCGAUAUAUAUUUUCUCCAUACAUUCCCGGUGCAAUAUAUAUGUAUGUAUAUAAAUUAAAGCUUGUUGGAGUUUUUGAGGGACUCCCUGGAUAGAACAGAGACAUGGGUUCUCGCCCGCUCGCCUUGUGCUUUCUGCUCCUCCUCCUGGUUUCCUUCCAUGCUCAUGACUUCCCCAGAUGUGCGGAUGCGAGGCCGCUGCCUUUCGAGAAGCUACAGAGUAAGCGCGAACUACUUUUGUAACUUCAUCUGAAUAUAACUAAAAUUAAAAAAAUUUUAAAUUAGAGUUUCUACUUUCAAAAUUUUAAAACUUGCAUACUUUACCUUUCGUUUUAUCUUAAAAACAAGAGAUAAUUUAAGCAUGUUUAGUUUUCGAUAGUAGUAAAUCAUGAAUCGCAUGCAGCUUCGACAGAAUCUCAUGAUUUCUUUCCGUGUGGUGUGACUGUUUCAGGGUACGUCGGUGUUUUGGGAUCGCUCGGAAUCGUGUGCAGGUGCUGCGACGGAGAAGCGGGCGAGUGCAGGAGCCGGUGGGAAUCAACCUGCGCAAAGCUGGAUUGCCACCCCUCGAAAUUUUAGUGAUGUUAUGUAGUUUGUCGUGCGACAGCUGAAUAAUAUAUACUUCUGUAAAUGAAAACUUUGAAUUCACUGGUUCUAAAAGUAUGCGUUGUGGUGCCUAUGUUUGUUGCAUCUCAAAUGAGAAAUUGAAAACAAUAUUAGUGUGGGAAUAGUCUCAUUUACUAGACGGGGAAUUAGUAUUUGUUUUUUUUUUUUUUUUGGAGAUAGAUAGUACGCUACCCGCUUUGUUUAUUUCAUUUAGAAAUAAACUUAGCUAGAAAUGUGAAUCAACUAGGAUUCGAACUUGGGUCUCAGAUAUCAACCACCAAACCUUUUGCCGCUUGCGUUAGAGACGGUCGGUGGGAAUUAGUAUUUGUCAGUAUUGAAAUAUUGAAAUGGAGUAGUAUAGGGUCAGAAGAAGGGAUAUUGCAAUUGUGCUCAAUGUGAACGGUGGGUGGGAAUUGAACGUGAAAGCAACAGAGGUCCCAUUUGACGUUGGCAUAUGGCGGAGAAACAGUAUAGGAGCUGCGUGGCACUAUCAUAGCCAAUUCCCUCAUUUGUAGCCAAACGUGACAAUAAUGAAUAAAUAAAUACAUAGGUUAUACAUAUUAUACAUAUUCAUUUGUACCUUGUUUGAAUGUAUAAAUAUACCUUAUUCAAUGUAUACUUUUGAUAUACUUUAAAAUUUUGUUUUGUGCCCUGUGUAUUUUUCAUUUGCUCAAAAAAUUUAUACAUUUAUAUAUAUAUAUAUAUAUAUAUAUAUAUAUAUAUAUAUUAUUAUAUAUAUAUAUAUAUAUAUAUAUUAUAUAUAUAUAUAUAGAGCAGGGCUGCUGUGCUCUCAGGACCCGGAGGUCUCCGUGCUCCUGAGCCGUUUUCGAUGAUGGAAUUUUUGAAUCGACGAUCGCUCCGUUAGACUUGAUCUAGCACAUUUGAAGUUUCUAGAAAAUAAUUUUUGUAAUUUUUCGAUAUCAUUUACCUAGUGAUCGAAAGGAUUCAAAAUCCAUAAUUUU